rnacentral:rRNA from 1 species
GAUGAACGCUGGCGGCGUGCCUAAUACAUGCAAGUCGAGCGAACAGACGAGGAGCUUGCUCCUCUGACGUUAGCGGCGGACGGGUGAGUAACACGUGGAUAACCUACCUAUAAGACUGGGAUAACUUCGGGAAACCGGAGCUAAUACCGGAUAAUAUAUUGAACCGCAUGGUUCAAUAGUGAAAGACGGUUUUGCUGUCUCUUCUAGAUGGAUCCGCGCCGCAUGAGCUAGUUGGUAAGGUAACGGCUUACCAAGGCAACGAUGCGUAGCCGACCUGAGAGGGUGAUCGGCGACACUGGAACUGAGACACGGUCCAGACUCCUACGGGAGGCAGCAGUAGGGAAUCUUCGGCAAUGGGCGAAAGCUUGACGGAGCAACGCCGCGUGAGUGAUGAAGGUCUUCGGAUCGUAAAACUCUGUUAUUAGGGAAGAACAAAUGUGUAAGUAACUAUGCACGUCUUGACGGUACUUAAUCAGAAAGCCACGGCUAACUACGUG